GACGAACGCUGGCGGCGUGCUUAACACAUGCAAGUCGAACGGUGAAGGGGUCUGCUUUUGUGGGCCCUGGAUGAGUGGCGAACGGGUGAGUAACACGUGAGUAACCUGCCCCCUUCUUCUGGAUAACCGCAUGAAAGUGUGGCUAAUACGGGAUAUUCUGGGUCUGUCGCAUGAUGGGUCUGGGAAAGAUUGCGCCUUUGGGUGUUUUUGGUGGGGGAUGGGCUCGCGGCCUAUCAGCUUGUUGGUGGGGUGAUGGCCUACCAAGGCGGUGACGGGUAGCCGGCCUGAGAGGGUGGACGGUCACACUGGGACUGAGACACGGCCCAGACUCCUACGGGAGGCAGCAGUGGGGAAUAUUGCACAAUGGGCGCAAGCCUGAUGCAGCGACGCCGCGUGAGGGAUGGAGGCCUUCGGGUUGUAAACCUCUUUCGACAGUGAAGCAGGCCUGCUCCUUGUGGGUGGGUUGACGGUAGCUGGAUAAGAAGCGCCGGCUAACUACGUG
rnacentral:rRNA from 1 species